rnacentral:rRNA from 1 species
UCAGGCCUAACACAUGCAAGUCGAGCGAGAAAGGUGACUUCGGUUGCCGAGUACAGCGGCGGACGGGUGAGUAACACGUGGGUAACCUGCCCUGUAGUGGGGGACAACCACCCGAAAGGGUGGCUAAUACCGCAUAAGUCGCUCUUCUCUUCGGAGAGGAGCGGGAAAGCUAGCCUCUGUUUCAUGCUGGCGCUACAGGAGGGGCCCGCGUCGCAUCAGCUUGAUGGUGGGGUAACGGCCUGCCAUGGCUAAGACGCGUAGCUGGUCUGAGAGGAUGAUCAGCCACACUGGGACUGAGACACGGCCCAGACUCCUACGGGAGGCAGCAGUGGGGAAUAUUGGACAAUGGGGGAAACCCUGAUCCAGCCACGCCGCGUGAGUGAUGAAGGCCUUCGGGUCGUAAAGCUCUGUGGAGAAAGACGAAACCGCUAUAUUUAAUAGAUGUAGUGCUGACGGUACUUCUUUAGCAAGCACCGGCUAACUCCGUGCCAGCAGCCGCGGUAAUACGGAGGGUGCAAACGUUGCUCGGAAUCAUUGGGCGUAAAGCGCACGUAGGCGGUCCGAUAAGUCGGAUGUGAAAGCCCUCGGCUCAACCGAGGAAGUGCAUUCGAAACUGUCGGACUUGAGUACGGGAGAGGGUUGCGGAAUUCCCGGUGUAGAGGUGAAAUUCGUAGAUAUCGGGAGGAACACCAGAGGCGAA